rnacentral:rRNA from 1 species
UACGUAGGUGGCAAGCGUUAUCCGGAUUUAUUGGGCGUAAAGCGAGCGCAGGCGGUUUGAUAAGUCUGAUGUGAAAGCCUUUGGCUUAACCAAAGAAGUGCAUCGGAAACUGUCAGACUUGAGUGCAGAAGAGGACAGUGGAACUCCAUGUGUAGCGGUGGAAUGCGUAGAUAUAUGGAAGAACACCAGUGGCGAAGGCGACUGUCUGGUCUGCAACUGACGCUGAGGCUCGAAAGCAUGGGUAGCGAACAGG